rnacentral:lncRNA from 10 species
GACUUCUGGGGCUUGAAGACCCUGGGUCUGCGGGAAGCCCCUGCUGAGCGUCCCUCGCCUACCCCGUGGCCAGUGGCUUUUCAGUGCAGAAACCACCUUAUCUAUGUGACAAAGCUCGGGCCAUCAGUGGCAAGGUAGAUUGGCAUCACGUACCUUUGAUACAACAACCUGAGAAGGACGUCACUUCUGCGAUAUUCCUGCCAAAAAUGCAUCUCCGCAUUCCGAUCGUGAGAACAUCCUGGGCACACCCAAACUGAGAGACACCAUACAAAGUGACUGGUCAGUGCACUCAAAGGCAAAAAGCUCAUGGAAGGCAACAGAAGACAGGAGAAGUGACAGCUAAAAGCAGCGUGGAAUCCUGGAAGGGACAAAGAACACGAGCAGAGAAACUGUAGAAGCUGAGUGAGGGCAGCGGUCCAGCUUGCGCUGUUUUGCUGGGGUGAUUCUGGCUUUGAUGACCUUGUUUUGAGCCUCAGGUUUUCCUUAGGAUUCCGUGUGUGUUCCCCGCCUGGCCCCUCCGCAGCGACUCUGCUGUCAGUGGCUGCCCCAGGGUGGAGAGUGACCUACCUCCGGCUUCUCCUGUCCCGGC